CUUGGAGAAGGCUUUGCAGGGGAUGCCUCAUUAAAGCUGAGGCCAGAGAGGUCAGCAGGAUUCAGCCAGUCCGUGAGUGGGGCUCUGAGGCAGAUUAUGCACAAAGACCUUGGGUUGAGCAAGCUGUGGCUCAUUCCUUUUCUCUUACAACUUUCUCUUCGACUGGCAGAGGACCUUCUGGAGAUAAUUCAGGACACUGACAACAACAAAGGCAAAUGCAACUGGCAAUCUCAACUAAGUUCUUGGGAAGAAGAAUCAUUGGGGCAUAAGGAAAGUGGUGCCCAAGCCCCUCUUGUUUCUCUGAAGUGAAUCUUGUGGGGAAGGAGGUAAUCAGAGGGAAAGACACUCAGCAUUCCAGGGGCAUCUGUUCAAGUCCCAGCUCAGCCACUUCAUCAAGGUGAAACCUCAAGCACAUCACUUGCAGACUCUUGAAAUCACUGUGAGGGUCCAUGGUCCUGUAAACAAUUAGACACUCUACAAGUCUUCCUUGUGAGUGUCAGAAGGGAGUGCACAAAAGAUCAAAACCACCACAAAAGGCACUGAAAAACACCGCAACAGGCCUCCUCUGUUGCAGCCCGUAGCACCUGGAAAGCCUGUAGCACCGCCACUCCUUGAAGCAAAAGAAAACAGUCUUGGGUUAAACUGAGCAAAACACACAUGGAGGGCCAGAGGCAGGUGUGAUCAAUUUCUCUAUUUCCCAUUUGAUGGCUUCCGUCUCUAGAGUUCUCCUUUUUUUCUGCCUUUUCCAUGCCUCAGCUCCCUGAGUUCCCUGUGCGUGGGACAUGGCCAGGAAUCUCUCAUGGGGGUCUCUUCUUACUUAGAGGGUGGAGGUACACUCUCAGGUUUAGGAAUUCCAGUGAUUUUGAAGGUGCGUUUACUUAGUGAGUUGUAGCUGGGUCUAGGGAGGCUAGAAUUCCAGGGCUAGAAGUGACCUUCACACAUUCAAGCAUCCAUUUAUCCCACAUGUUUGGGCAUCCACUAUGUUCUAGGUAUUGUGUUAAGAACAAGCGACACCGAAGGAAGUAAAAGCAGACAUCAUAGAGAACAUAGAGUCUGUCAGGAGACAGGCAUUAACCAAAUAAUCAUGCAAUAGGGGACUAGUUGAAUAAAUUGUAGUAGGUCUACAUAUUGAAGUAAGGUUAAAUAGAAACUCUGUGAUUUGAAAUUUGAAUUGGAAAUAGAGUAUGAAAUUACAAUAUUUCCCUCUAAAACAUAUUUAUUUGUAGUGCUAUCCACUGAAAAAGUCUGAUGAUGACAAGCACCCCUAGUGCCCAGAUUGUGGUCUCUAAAUACCAUUUCUCAAUAUAAGAGGCAGAGCUCCUUGGAGAGAUGACUGACUCCAAGGGUGAGUAGGAAAUGUACAAGAUGAGCCUGGUACAUCUUGUGCCAGAAAAAAAAAAAAAAAACUAUAAAAAACUAUGAAGACUAUGUAAAAGAUACCCAGAGGUCAACCUGAAAGGUUUCCAUUCCAGAAGACUGGAAAUUCUUAGCAACAACAACAAAAAAAAAUAGAACAGUAGAUUAAAACAGCAAUAUAAAAAUCCAUGAGCUCGAAAUAAUACUUUAAAAAAAGAAAAGAAAGGAGAAGAUCAUGGUUCUCCACUAGAGGUUGCUAGGGCUUCAGCUCAUUACUUCAAAAAUUGGUAAAUAGAAAAAAACAUUUAUUUUAACUUUCUAGUCUGUAUAACUGUAUUUCUGGAUAAUUGAAUUGUUUCUGGAGAAAUUUCUUUGUAGAAAAAUUUCCACUAUUAAAUGCAGGAGGAAUUAUAUAAUUCCAUCUGUGACUUUAGUGGAAUAAUUAAUUUAGGAAACAAUCAUUAGUGGAUGCUGAAAACCUUAGGGGAAAUGUUGAUGGGGAAUUUCAUAACAGAGCAGUGAGGCUGACACCAUCUAAACCCACUGAUCUAUCACUAUUAGUGAGAUAACCAUGCUUUAUGUGUCUACCCAGGUGAGGCAACAUGAAAUAUAUAACACUAACGAUGACACAUUCUUGCCUUUGAAAAAUUAAUCCUGAAUUUUAAAAAACCUCUAGAUCUCUUACCAGUGUACAGGAAAUAUAGGGUACCGAAGAACAAAUUAAGCAACACUGCAAAAAAGCAAUCAGCCCAAUCUAGAUUGUGGGACAUUCUACAAGAUAAAUGACCAAGUUUCAUCAACAAAUCAAUAACAUGAAAAAGAAACAAAAAGGAAUGAGAACUGUUUUGGUUUUUAAUAAAAAUUGUGUACAUUUAAAGUGUGCAAUGUGAUGUUUUGAUAUAUAUAUAUAAUAAAAUGAUUACUACAGUCAAGCUAAUUAACAUAUCCAUCACUCUACAUAGUUGUGUGUGUGUGUGUAGAACAC
rnacentral:lncRNA from 10 species